rnacentral:rRNA from 1 species
UACAGAGGUCUCAAGCGUUUGUUCGGAUUCAUUGGGCGUAAAGGGUGUGUAGGUGGCGCCGUAAGUCGGGUGUGAAAUUUCGGAGCUUAACUCCGAGACUGCAUUCGAUACUGCGGUGCUUGAGGACUGGAGAGGAGACUGGAAUUUACGGUGUAGCAGUGAAAUGCGUAGAUAUCGUAAGGAAGACCAGUGGCGAAGGCGG